rnacentral:rRNA from 1 species
UACGUAGGGUGCGAGCGUUAAUCGGAAUUACUGGGCGUAAAGCGUGCGCAGGCGGUUUGCUAAGACCGAUGUGAAAUCCCCCGGGCUUAACCUGGGAAUUGCAUUUGUGACUGCACGGCUAGAGUGUGUCAGAGGGGGGUAGAAUUCCACGUGUAGCAGUGAAAUGCGUAGAUAUGGUGGAGGAAUACCGAUGGCGAAGGCA